rnacentral:misc_RNA from 1 species
AAUUCUCAACCACACUUAGUUGUGUAAAAACAGCUCGUGUGGGCUUGGAUUUGGGACUGCUGCUGGUCUUCUAAAGGGUCAGCUGUCCUGAAAUUUAUUAGCGAGGUUUUUGUUGCUAGUCUCCAGUGUGAUAACUAUCUACGCUGAUGAGUGGCUUCAAUUACAAGGCCUGGCUUCUAAUCGUCCUUAGGGACAACUCUGACA